AUUGAACGCUGGCGGCGUGCCUAAUACAUGCAAGUCGAGCGAAUGGAUUAAGAGCUUGCUCUUAUGAAGUUAGCGGCGGACGGGUGAGUAACACGUGGGUAACCUGCCCAUAAGACUGGGAUAACUCCGGGAAACCGGGGCUAAUACCGGAUAAUAUUUUGAACUGCAUGGUUCAAAAUUGAAAGGCGGCUUCGGCUGUCACUUAUGGAUGGACCCGCGUCGCAUUAGCUAGUUGGUGAGGUAACGGCUCACCAAGGCAACGAUGCGUAGCCGACCGGGGAGGGUGAUCGGCCACACUGGGACUGAGACACGGCCAAGACUCCUACGGGAGGCAGCAGUAGGGAAUCUUCCGCAAUGGACGAAAGUCUGACGGAGCAACGCCGCGUGAGUGAUGAAGGCUUUCGGGUCGUAAAACUCUGUUGUUAGGGAAGAACAAGUGCUAGUUGAAUAAGCUGGCACCUUGACGGUACCUAACCAGAAAGCCACGGCUAACUACGUGCCAGCAGCCGCCGUAA
rnacentral:rRNA from 1 species